rnacentral:rRNA from 1 species
GGCAGUCAGAGGCGAUGAAGGACGUGCUAAUCUGCGAUAAGCGCCGGUAAGGUGAUAUGAACCGUUAUAACCGGCGAUUUCCGAAUGGGGAAACCCAGUGUGACUCGUCACACUAUCAUUAACUGAAUCCAUAGGUUAAUGAGGCGAACCGGGGGAACUGAAACAUCUAAGUACCCCGAGGAAAAGAAAUCAACCGAGAUUCCCCCAGUAGCGGCGAGCGAACGGGGAGGAGCCCAGAGCCUGAAUCAGCAUGUGUGUUAGUGGAAGCGUCUGGAAAGGCGCGCGAUACAGGGUGACAGCCCCGUACACAAAAGCGCAUGUGCUGUGAGCUCGAUGAGUAGGGCGGGACACGUGGUAUCCUGUCUGAAUAUGGGGGGACCAUCCUCCAAGGCUAAAUACUCCUGACUGACCGAUAGUGAACCAGUACCGUGAGGGAAAGGCGAAAAGAACCCCGGCGAGGGGAGUGAAAAAGAACCUGAAACCGUGUACGUACAAGCAGUGGGAGCACCCUUUGGGGUGUGACUGCGUACCUUUUGUAUAAUGGGUCAGCGACUUAUAUUCUGUAGCAAGGUUAACCGAAUAGGGGAGC